rnacentral:rRNA from 1 species
AAUUACCCACUCCCAGCACGGGGAGGUAGUGACGAAAAAUAACGAUACGGGACUCAUCCGAGGCCCCGUAAUCGGAAUGAGUACACUUUAAAACUUUUCCCGAGGAUCAAUUGGAGGGUAAGUCUGGUGCCAGCAGCCGCGGUAAUUCCAGCUCCAAUAGCGUAUAUUAAAGUUGUUGCGGUUAAAAAGCUCGUAGUCGAAUCUGUGUCCCGCGCCGCUGGUUCAUCGCUCGCGGUGUUCAACUGGCGUGUCUCGCGGGACGUCCUGCCGGUGGGCGCUCGGCUGUUUCGGCAGUCGUGGCCCAACUCGCUUCCGUCUCGCGCGGUUGUGAAUCCCAUCGCGGUGCUCUUUAUUGAGUGUCGAGGUGGGCCGGCACGUUUACUUUGAACAAAUUAGAGUGCUUAAAGCAGGCCAAUUUUGCCUGAAUAUUGUGUGCAUGGAAUAAUGAAAUAGGACCUCGGUUCUAUUUUGUUGGUUUUCGGAACCCCGAGGUAAUGAUUAAUAGGAACGGAUGGGGGCAUUCGUAUUGCGACGUUAGAGGUGAAAUUCUUGGAUCGUCGCAAGACGGACAGAAGCGAAAGCAUUUGCCAAACACGCUUUCAUUGAUCAAGAACGAAAGUUAGAGGUUCGAAGGCGAUCAGAUACCGCCCUAGUUCUAACCAUAAACGAUGCCAGCUAGCGAUCCGCCGACGUUCCUCCGAUGACUCGGCGGGCAGCUUCCGGGAAACCAAAGCUUUUGGGUUCCGGGGGAAGUAUGGUUGCAAAGCUGAAACUUAAAGGAAUUGACGGAAGGGCACCACCAGGAGUGGAGCCUGCGGCUUAAUUUGACUCAACACGGGACACCUCACCAGGCCCGGACACCGGAAGGAUUGACAGAUUGAGAGCUCUUUCUUGAUUCGGUGGGUGGUGGUGCAUGGCCGUU